rnacentral:rRNA from 1 species
UCGCCAGACUCCUACGGGAGGCAGCAGUGGGGAAUAUUGCACAAUGGGGGGAACCCUGAUGCAGCGACGCCGCGUGAAGGAUGAAGUAUUUCGGUCCGUAAACUUCUAUCAGCAGGGAAGAAAAUGACGGUACCUGACUAAGAAGCCCCGGCUAACUACGUGCCAGCAGCCGCGGUAAUACGUAGGGGGCAAGCGUUAUCCGGAAUUACUGGGUGUAAAGGGAGAGUAGGCGGCAAGGUAAGCGAUAUGUGAAAGCCUUAAGCUUAACUUAAGGAUGGCAUAACGAACUAUCUAGCUAGAGUGCAGGAGAGGAAAGCGGAAUUCCUAGUGUAGCGGUGAAAUGCGUAGAUAUUAGGAAGAACACCAGUGGCGAAGGCGGCUUUCUGGACUGAAACUGACGCUGAGGCUCGAAAGCGUGGGGAGCGAACAGGAUUAGAUACCCGGGUAA